rfam:Loxodonta africana unplaced genomic scaffold scaffold_20, whole genome shotgun sequence.
AUUACCUGUGGGUCUUGUUCAAAAGCAGAUUCUGAAUCAGUAGGUCUGGCGUUGGCCUGAGAUUCUGCAUUUAUAACAAGUUCCCAGGUGAUGCUGA